rnacentral:rRNA from 1 species
ACGCUGGCGGCGUGCCUAAUACAUGCAAGUAGAACGCUGAAGGAGGAGCUUGCUUCUCUGGAUGAGUUGCGAACGGGUGAGUAACGCGUAGGUAACCUGCCUGGUAGCGGGGGAUAACUAUUGGAAACGAUAGCUAAUACCGCAUAACAGUAGAUGUUGCAUGACAUUUGCUUAAAAGGUGCAAUUGCAUCACUACCAGAUGGACCUGCGUUGUAUUAGCUAGUUGGUGGGGUAACGGCUCACCAAGGCGACGAUACAUAGCCGACCUGAGAGGGUGAUCGGCCACACUGGGACUGAGACACGGCCCAGACUCCUACGGGAGGCAGCAGUAGGGAAUCUUCGGCAAUGGACGGAAGUCUGACCGAGCAACGCCGCGUGAGUGAAGAAGGUUUUCGGAUCGUAAAGCUCUGUUGUAAGAGAAGAACAGGUGUGAGAGUGGAAAGUUCACACUGUGACGGUAUCUUACCAGAAAGGGACGGCUAACUACGUGCCAGCAGCCGCGGUAAUACGUAGGUCCCGAGCGUUGUCCGGAUUUAUUGGGCGUAAAGCGAGCGCAGGCGGUUAGAUAAGUCUGAAGUUAAAGGCCGUGGCUUAACCAUAGUACGCUUUGGAAACUGUUUAACUUGAGUGCAAGAGGGGAGAGUGGAAUUCCAUGUGUAGCGGUGAAAUGCGUAGAUAUAUGGAGGAACACCGGUGGCGAAAGCGGCUCUCUGGCUUGUAACUGACGCUGAGGCUCGAAAGCGUGGGGAGCAAACAGGAUUAGAUACCCCUGGUAGUCCACGCCGUAAACGAUGAGUGCUAGGUGUUAGACCCUUUCCGGGGUUUAGUGCCGCAGCUAACGCAUUAAGCACUCCGCCUGGGGAGUACGACCGCAAGGUUGAAACUCAAAGGAAUUGAC